rnacentral:rRNA from 1 species
UACGGGGGGGGCAAGCGUUGUUCGGAAUUACUGGGCGUAAAGGGCUCGUAGGCGGCCAACUAAGUCAGACGUGAAAUCCCUCGGCUUAACCGGGGAACUGCAUCUGAUACUGGAUGGCUUGAGAUUGGGAGAGGGAUGCGGAAUUCCAGGUGUAGCGGUGAAAUGCGUAGAUAUCUGGAGGAACACCGGCGGCGAAGGCGGCAUCCUGGACCAACACUGACGCUGAGGAGCGAAAGCCAGGGGAGCAAACGGG